GCUUCUCUCGGUGUGGUACCCAGGGGGACUCCCGGCGUACGGGGGUCUAGGUGUCGUGGGUCAGCAGGGACCGAAGUCCUCCGAGGCCCGGACGGCGGAGCCUGAGCCCCGCCCUCCGCCCAGCCCUUAGAGCCUAGAGGCUGCGGGCCGUUCGGGUGCGGGCAGCGAGGCCACGGUCCAAGCGGCGGACACUAGAGAAUUGGGGUCCCAGGGCGCCGGCGUGUAUCGCGACGGCACCUGGCGUCCUUCCGGAAGCUCGGCCUGGGGCGUGGCGGGCAUGCCUCUGGUGCUAAUUAGGGGGCCACUGGGGAGUACUGGCAACCCGGUGGCACCCUGCCUCGCUGGGCGUCCCCAUAACUCCAGCGCAGCUCCUGCCCUUCGUUUCCGGGGCGUGACCUUGGGUGGUCGCUGCACCGGAGCGAUCCUUUAGGACAAACGUUCAUCCCUGUUAGGAGACUGGUUCUUCAGCUACAAGAGGGUUUGAUGGUGCCGGAUGGACUGCGGUGAAGUACCGGGGAAGAAAUCCUUCAGAGAACAAAUCCGGUCGUUCCAAGGAAGGCCAGCUGGGCCUUGGGGUUCUACAUUCCUUUCUUGAGGGCUGGGCAGCUUUUCUUCUGAAGCGCUUGGCACCUCCUCCAUCCCUGUGGUGACUGAGCGGUUGCUGUGUGGCUUGGUGGUGGGUGGAUAGUUGAGCCAAGGUUGAAGAGUACAGGUUCUAAGCUAGACUGCUGUCUGUGCUUAGGGAGGCCCAGCUUGUGGAUGGGAGGCACCUCACUGCUGCCGGGCCCUCCUCAGGUGUAAGUAAGCCCUAGGGAGCAGUGGUUUUCCCCUAGGUGGAAAUGAUUAAUGGCAUAUUGCACAUGGAAGUUUUGGCAUUCCUUGGAAGGUAUCUAUCUCUUGUCAUUGUCCCGGUGACAUCGGACUGAUCUGAUAUAGUUUGUCAUCACAAGGGGCAGAAGCAAGGCCCAGCUGCUCCUCUUCAGCAGUAGAGGCUUUUGGAAGGAGCUGUUGGCACUUUCGAUUUGGAAUCACAGCCCAGAGGGAGAGCAUCUGCCCUGGCCCUUCAACAUGCUCGACCUUGGAUUUUGUUUUCUGUUAUUGUUACUUUUUACGUCUGGAGAAACCUAGGAUUCAAGGUGAACCAGGUCUAGGUCUCUGUCUACAUUCCUACCUUCAUCAGGCCUCACCAUGAACUCAGAGGCUGGCUGGUACAGUCUGUGCCUGCUUCAUGUUGAGGGCUACAGAGCCGCCCUCUUGAGUCUGCCCAUGUUGCUGAGUGGUGGUUACAGGUGAGCUUGAGCUGGGUAUUGAUCCCAGCACUUUAAUCCCAGCACUGUGGAGGCAGAAGCUGAUGGAUCUCUGAGUUUUCCAGACAGCUUGGACUAUAGAGCUUCGGGACUGUCAGGGCAGUAUGAAGAAACCUUGUCUUAAAAAACAUUGCAGAGGAGUUUGCUAUAACAGCAGUUGAUGCUGGCAGUGCUUAACAGUAGCAAUGUGAGGGUGGCUGUAGCUUAGCCUGCCACAGAGGCGGGGUACAGUGCUCAGGCACAGCUUCACAUUGUGCUCAUGUUCAGGGGCCAGGAAUGAGAGAGAAGAGUGACAGCGAUUUUCUGGAAGGGUAAAAUCGCAGUGACUUGACAGGUUUUUUUGUUUGUUUGGUUUGUAUUUUUUGAGACAGAGUUUCUCUGUGUAGCCUUGCCUGUCCUGGACUCAUUUGUAGAGCAGGCUAUCCUCUAACUCACAGAGAUCCGCCUACCUCUGCCUCCACGAAUGCUGGGAUUACAGGAGUGUGCCACCAUGCCCAUCUUGACAAUUCUUUAUGUAUUCCUUACUUUCUAAUUUUUCCAUGGGAAAUAGGUUUUUCUUUGUUUUUUACAAGUGGGAUAAAAUAUUUUUUCAUGGAAGAGAAACGUUAAUGUGUGUUUGUAAUUGCACAUGAAAAAUGAUGGCUUCACAUUAACCCUUCAUGAACUCAUCCUGACUGCCUGGCCCAGUGUGGUCCUCACCUCCAGUUCCCUACUGGCUAAAGUCCCUUUUCCUUAUCUCCUUUCGGGUCACUUGUUAACCAUGUUUUUUUCUAGACGCGUUAUUUUUUUCAUAUGCACUUGUUUGUUUGUUUUGGUGAAAAGAUUGUGGCUUGGCACUGUUAGGGCAGCAUGUGUCUUAGCAUUGGUCUCGCUCCCAAGCUCUGGGCCACUUCUCAUCAUCAUACUUUGUGGGCCCAGGGUGCUGUGAGGUGUUCUUUGAGAGCUGAGAGUCUUAGGCUGCCUGUGCCAGAUGUGAAAGAGGCCCAUGUGGGCUGCACUGUGCAUUGAAGGUCAGGGUUGAGGUUCUCUCUGCCUUUU